AGAAAAGGCGAGAAGAGAGAGAGAGUGCAGAUAGAUAAGUGAAGAGAGGCAUCACUUCUGAGACAAUCUGCAGCACUGGGGGCCAUAAGCAUGUCUGCUUUCAUCAGCAGGGUCUGCUCAACUGACACAGUGUAAGCAAAGUGACGGACUGCAUUGUGUGUUUCAUGGAGACAGGGAAUCAGGGGAUCAAUAAAUAGCACUGGAAUACAGCCAAUGCCAGGAUUUCAUUUCUACAAAGGGUACUGGAGGAAUUCAAGUGGACUGCUGGGACACGUGGCAUCUGUGUAGAACAAAGAGACUGUCAUAAAUAUCUAUAGGAGACACUUCUGAAGGUACAGCUAUCCAUCAUCUGGCUUCACUGAGAACGAGAACCUCUUCUGGAAUCCUUGAAAUUUGCUUUGGCUUCACUUGGUGUUGAGUUCUCUGUUAUCCGAACGGGAUCUCUGUGUCGUGUGUCAUUGCUUUAGUCAGGACGGUAUGGUUGAUCUUCAAGCCGGACGUGAGGUCUGCUGGUUCCCAUGAAGAGGUUUGGUAGCUUGCGUCGGACCAAGAGGCACCAUGACGAGGAGCUGCUCACCGGGAGACGGCAGUCAGAAUCGGCAUGUUUGUCUGGCUCUGGGCUUUCCACUCCCCCCACCACCCCGACACAGAGUCCCGUUCCACCAGUCUUCCCUGUGGAGACCCCCAGUCCUGCGGAGCGCGUGGAGGAAAGACGCUCCCGCUCUCUCUCGUCUCCCCCUGACACAGGUCAGCGCUUCAGCCUGAGCCCCUCCACCAACAAACCCCCUAUCACCUCGUACACCUUUAACUCUACCUCACGCCAGAGCUGCGUACUUGCUGAAGGCAUGCUGGAAAAACUUGAACUUGAUAACGAAGCUGCUGAAGAGCCAGACAGUGACAUUUACAUGCGCUUUAUGAAAUCCCACAAGUGCUAUGACCUCAUCCCCACCAGUUCCAAACUAGUGGUCUUUGACACUACAUUACAGGUAAAGAAAGCUUUCUUUGCCUUGGUUGCUAAUGGAGUUCGAGCUGCGCCAUUAUGGGAAACCAAAAAGCAAAGCUUUGUGGGAAUGUUAACCAUCACAGACUUCAUCAUCAUCCUGCACAGAUACUACAAAUCGCCGCUGGUGCAAAUAUACGAGCUGGAGGAGCAUAAGAUUGAGACCUGGAGAGAACUUUACUUGCAAGAAACGUUUAAACCCUUAGUCAACAUAUCUCCAGAUGCAAGUAUAUUUGAUGCUGUUUACUCACUCAUCAAAAAUAAGAUCCAUCGUUUGCCAGUGAUCGAUCCAGUCACAGGAAACGCCCUCUAUAUCCUCACACACAAGAGAAUUCUCAAGUUUCUGCAGCUCUUUGUGUGUGAGAUGCCUAAACCAGCCUUCAUGAGGCAGACUCUGGAGGAGCUGGGCAUCGGCACAUAUAGCAACAUUGCUUUCAUUCACCCAGAUACACCCAUUAUUAAAGCACUGGGCAUGUUUGUGGAGAGGAGAGUGUCUGCCCUGCCAGUGGUGGAUGUUACAGGAAAGGUUGUAGACAUUUACUCCAAAUUUGAUGUCAUUAACCUGGCAGCUGAGAAGACCUACAAUAACCUGGACAUCACCGUGACUCAGGCUCUGCUGCAUCGCUCACAGUACUUCGAGGGCGUUAUGAAGUGUUAUCGACACGAGACCCUGGAUACUAUAGUGGACAGGAUCGUCAAAGCUGAGGUGCACAGGCUGGUAGUGGUGGAUGAUAACUCCAGCAUCGAGGGCAUCAUCUCUCUUUCUGACAUCCUGCAGGCGCUGGUUCUCACCCCCGCAGGUAUAGACGCACAGAAUUCCUAAAUCAACCCUCCAUUUCACUUUCCUUCUCCCUCUCCACUCUUCCCCGGACCCAAUCUCCUCUCCCUGGACAUCCAGCACUCGAGUGUCCCUCUCUGACCCCCUGAGCACAGGAGGACGCAGGAGGGACAGUGUGACCGAAUGACAAGACAAUAUUUUGGAGGUAAAACAGAAACACAAGAAAUUCAGAGAACCAAAAAGGUCCCAUCGGCAUUCCUGACGGGAUACGGAGAAGAGGACAGCUGGACGUUUUUGGGGGAAUUGUGCGGGGCUGAAUGAAACUGUGUGAAUCUGCAGCUGAAGGAACGGACAUGCGAUCAUAACGCACGUGGUGUUGGACAUGUUUAUGGUGGGCCAGCUGUGAGAAUCUGCCGCUAUACUGUACACUGCUUUAGAUGCUGGGCAUGUUUGUCUGCUGGUCUGACAGCACUAAAUCAGGCACAGGUAGGAAGUCUCCUUUUGUGUUCUAGCUGGGUCUGCAUUAUAUCAUCAGGCACUGUAAUCCACUCUUGGGUGAGCGUCUGAAGUGGAAAUUUGAGAGUUGAUUGUAGAGGUUAGCAGAGAUCCAAAGAUGUGCUUGUAGUGCAAAAGCAGGUUCUUGAUUCUUCAGCAAUAAGUUGCUGUCGGUUCCAAGAACCUGCUGGACUCUGUAGACAUCUGACCUUUUUUUUUCUCACUUUCUUGAAAAUUCUUCGAAGUCGCAUUUCAUCCCAAACUGAAAAGAAAAAAUAUAUGACAGAAAAUGGAGCAUAAAACAAAAUAAUGUGAUUAUUUGUUAUUAUUUAAUGACAAUUAAUCACACUUCCCUGCAGUUUUUAUUAUUGCAAUACAAAAACAUAAUUAUUUAUUAU